rnacentral:rRNA from 1 species
UACGAAGGCCUCAAGCGUUAUCCGGAUUUAUUGGGCGUAAAGAGUCUGUAGGCGUUCCGAAAAGUUUUUCGUCAAAUCCCGGUGCUCAACACCGGAACUGCGAAAAAAACUCUCGGAAUAGAGGGUGGGAGAGGUAGAUGGAAUUGCCGGUGUAGCGGUAAAAUGCGUUAAUAUCGGCAAGAACACCAAAUGCGAAGGCUUUCUACUAGAACACUCCUGACGCUGAGAGACGAAAGCGUGGGUAGCGAAUGGG